rnacentral:rRNA from 1 species
GACGAGGGGUCCUAGCGUUGUUCGGAAUCAUUGGGCGUAAAGCGUGUGUAGGUGGCUAUUCAAGUCAGUUGUGAAAUCCCCGGGCUCAACCCGGGAAGUGCUUCUGAUACUGUUUAGCUUGAGUACUAGAGAGGAUAGUAGAAUUCCUGGUGUAGUGGUGAAAUACGUAGAUAUCAGGAGGAACACCGGUGGCGAAGGCGGCUAUCUGGACAGAGUCUGACGCUGAGGCGCGAAAGCUAGGGGAGCAAACAGG